GGACCCCGCCGGCAAGAAGUGCCGCGCGGAAACCGUACCAAAACCGACACAGGUGGGUGGGAUGAGUAUUCCAAGGCGCUCGAGAGAACUCUCGUGAAGGAACUCUGCAAAUUGGCCCCGUAACUUCGGGAUAAGGGGCGCUCACUUUUGGGUGAGCCGCAGCGAAAAGGGUCUAGCGACUGUUUACUAAAAACACAGGUCUGUGCGAAGGCGUGAGCCGCGGUAUACAGACUGACGCCUGCCCGGUGCCGGUAAGUUAAGGGAGGCGGUUAGCCCGUAAGGGUGAAGCUGGCGACCGAAGCUCCGGUAAACGGCGGCCGUAAUUAUGAUGGUCCUAAGGUAGCGAAGUUUCUUGUUGGGUAAGUUUUGAUCUGCAUGAAUGGCGUAACGACUGGACCACUGUCUCCACGAGAGACUCGGUGAAACUGUAGUUGUCGUGAAGAUGCGACAUACCCGCAGCUAGACGGAAAGACCCCGUGAACCUUAACUGCAGCUUGGUAUUGGGUUUAGGCCCGGCAUGCGUAGCGUAGGUGGGAGGCCGUGAACCCCGGUUUUCGGACCGGGGGGAGCCGUCGAUGAAACACCACCCUUGCCGUGCUUGAAUUCUAACCCGGACCGGUGAACCCCGGCCGGGGACCGUGCUAAGUGGGCAGUUUGAUUGGGGCGAUCUCCUCCUAAACGGUAACGGAGGAGCCCAACGGUCCCUUCAGCCCGGUCGGCAAUCGGGCCACGAGCGCAAACGCAGAAGGGGGCUUGACUGCGAGGGCGAUGGCCCGAGCAGGUGCGAAAGCAGGGGUUAGUGAUCCGGCGGUCCCGAAUGGAAGGGCCGACGCUCAACAGAUAAAAGGUACUCCGGGGAUAACAGGCUUAUCUCCUCUGAGCGUUUAUAGCGGCGAGGAGGUUUGGCACCUCGAUGUCGGCUCAUCACGUCCUGGGGGUGGAGAAGCUCCCAAGGGUUCGGCUGUUCGCCGAUGAAAGUGGUACGUGAGCUGGGUUUAGACCGUCGUGAGACAGGUCGGUCCCUAUCUGCUGCGGGCGGACGAGACUCGCGGGGCUUCCUCCCUAGUACGAGAGGACUGGGAGGGACGCACCCCUGGUGUGCCGGUUGUCGCGCUAGCGGCACCGCCGGGUAGCCACGUGCGGAACGGAUAAACGCUGAAGGCAUAUAAGCGUGAAACUCCCCCCUAGAUCAGGUCUCGGUCCGUAAGGUGAAGGCUCCCGGGAGACGACCGGGUCGAUAGGCCGGACGUACAAGCGCGGCGACGCGCUCAGCCGACCGGUACUAACAGCCGACCGUUUGGCCCC
rnacentral:rRNA from 1 species